UAGUACAUAUAUAUGUCGGGUUUACAUUAGAAUUAGGGUUAGGGGCGUAAAGCGAAUCUUCGUUUGGAUUACACGUCGUCGUUAUGCAAUAGAGAAGACAUUGGCUAGUGCAAAUACGAUUACCAUAGAACCGGACAAGUAACCGUGGUUAUUAGAUACUCGAGAGACUAAUGACAAUGAUCCUAGGUUCAAUAACGAAUCCGCGGACAACGGGACGGUAGUCGUACGCACUCGCAAAAAAUCUAAGUCGGAUUCUGUGUUAAUAUUCGCUGACCGUAAGGAGUUAAUCCUUUUUUUGUCGAUGAGACUGCAAGAGAGAAUGACUUUCCGUCCCGGUGAUACCCCAGAGGAAAACUAUGACGGGGUGUGUCUAAGGACACGAGAUCAUCGGAUUCGUCGGGGACAUCCUACGUUCGGAAAGUAAGGGAAAUUGACGUUGCUGCUAAUUGGCCAAUCUCCAUAUCGGUAGUUAGAAAAGGAUGCUAGUCGCCCUUGAGAGACGGUUGCUAGUGGGAGACGUCGUUCGUGGAAAAAUAGGUCUCUCCUGUCUUCCCAUGCCUUCGUUCGGAAAGUGAGGGAAAUUGACGUUGCUGUUAAUUGGUCAAUUUCCAUAUUGGUGGUUAGAGGAGGAUGCUAGCCGCCCUUGAGGGAAAGUUGCUAGCGGGAAGCGUCGUUCGUGAGAAAAGUAGAUUUCCCCUAUCCUCUUGUAGUUGGUACAAUGACUGUUUGUCUGUUUGAAGGACUUUAGUUAAUUAAAUCUUGAGAUUUAUAACGGGUCCUCAGCCUAGCUGAACAUGUACUGUGGAGAUGCGUCGACGUCUGUUAAUCAUCUUACCCGAAGAAUAGGACUUGUGUCCUUGUGUCUGUGGGACAGAAAUCGUUGGAAUGUUUACUGUCGCGUGCCGCUACAACUAUUUCUUUUAAGGAGAGCUAUAGAAUUACUCCACACCUCUGUUAGGUAAAAACGUUCAUCCCUUGACCGCGGCUACGUUCGGUGACUGGUUGUCGCCUCGAGCCCAAGCUCACUAUCAUAAAUCUGGAACAAAUACAAUCGGAUUGAAUGGCGGCAAUCGCUUAAUUACGGCUAUGGUAGAAUCUAGAUUAAAGUGUUAAGGGACUUUCCCAAAAUCCCAAAGGAGAGGCUCCGGUGUCCUUUCAUCUCUGAUAUAUAUAUAUAUGCUCAGAUUUCAGAGCUUAGUUUUAGGAGUAAUGUAAUAUCGUAAGGUAGUUCGAAUUAGAAAUCAGUUGAAAAUAGAUAAAACCGAGUACGUCGUCUUUCUGUGGUUCGUUUACAUUUAAGAGUGCCUGCGUGACUAAAGGCACGUAGUUGGUAGUUCUUACAUAGGUAUGAGGAAAACAAUAGACAACGUUAGAAGAAGGACGGUUUCGCUAUCCAAGGCGGGAGGACCGAAAGAUCAGAGUGUGCGAGUCGAAAAGUGUGCGUGUUGCGAGAAUCAGAGCUAAUUGAGUCGUCCAAGAGUAGAGUCGUUAGAGGUAAUCGAGUCGUCGAAGAGUAGAGUCGUGAGAAUUGAUAGAGUUGUUAGAGAGAGAGUGUGUGUGUGUGUUAGAUUCGUUGUGACGAGGGUGGUCAAAUAAUUGUAAAGUUAUUUGAUAUAGAUACGAGUAUUGCAUUUAGUUUCCGUUAAAUAAACAUCGUUUUCUGUCCAAUUUAUAUUUGUAUAUUCAAUUUAAUAUUAAUAAAUUGUAAGUAA